AUUGAACGCUGGCGGCAUGCCUUACACAUGCAAGUCGAACGGUAACAGGUCUUUGGAUGCUGACGAGUGGCGAACGGGUGAGUAAUACAUCGGAACGUGCCCGAUCGUGGGGGGAUAACGAAGCGAAAGCUUUGCUAAUACCGCAUAAGAUCUACGGAUGAAAGCAGGGGACCGCAAGGCCUUGCGCGAACGGAGCGGCCGAUGGCAGAUUAGGUAGUUGGUGGGAUAAAAGCUUACCAAGCCGACGAUCUGUAGCUGGUCUGAGAGGACGACCAGCCACACUGGGACUGAGACACGGCCCAGACUCCUACGGGAGGCAGCAGUGGGGAAUUUUGGACAAUGGGCGAAAGCCUGAUCCAGCCAUGCCGCGUGCAGGAUGAAGGCCUCGGUUGUAACUAGCUUUGUUACGGAAC
rnacentral:rRNA from 1 species